AAGACUGUCUCAAAGGAGAUAAGGGUAUCCCUGGUGACAGAGGAGAAAAGGGAUCGGCUGGGAUACCAGGUCAACCAGGGGAACCAGGCAAAGAGGGCAAAAGGG